ACGAACGCUGGCGGCGUGGAUAAGACAUGCAAGUCGAACGGGAGAAUUGCUAGCUUGCUAAUAAUUCUCUAGUGGCGCACGGGUGAGUAACACGUGAGUAACCUGCCUCUUAGUGGGGGAUAGCCCUGGGAAACCGGGAUUAAUACCGCAUACGAUUGAAAGAUCAAAGCAGCAAUGCGCUAGGAGAUGGGCUCGCGGCCUAUUAGUUAGUUGGUGAGGUAACGGCUCACCAAGGCGAUGACGGGUAGCCGGUCUGAGAGGAUGUCCGGCCACACUGGAACUGAGACACGGUCCAGACACCUACGGGUGGCAGCAGUCGAGAAUCAUUCACAAUGGGGGCAACCCUGAUGGUGCGACGCCGCGUGGGGGAAUGAAGGUCUUCGGAUUGUAAACCCCUGUCAUGUGGGAGCAAAUUAAAAAGAUAGUACCACAAGAGGAAGAGACGGCUAACUCUGUGCCAGCAGCCGCGGUAAUACAGAGGUCUCAAGCGUUGUUCGGAAUCACUGGGCGUAAAGCGUGCGUAGGCUGUUUCGUAAGUCGUGUGUGAAAGGCAGGGGCUCAACCCCUGGAUUGCACAUGAUACUGCGAGACUAGAGUAAUGGAGGGGGAACCGGAAUUCUCGGUGUAGCAGUGAAAUGCGUAGAUAUCGAGAGGAACACUCGUGGCGAAGGCGGGUUCCUGGACAUUAACUGACGCUGAGGCACGAAGGCCAGGGGAGCGAAAGGGAUUAGAUACCCCUGUAGUCCUGGCAGUAAACGGUGCACGCUUGGUGUGCGGGGAAUCGACCCCCUGCGUGCCGGAGCUAACGCGUUAAGCGUGCCGCCUGGGGAGUACGGUCGCAAGAUUAAAACUCAAAGAAAUUGACGGGGACCCGCACAAGCGGUGGAGUAUGUGGCUUAAUUCGAUGCAACGCGAAGAACCUUACCUGGGCUUGACAUGUAAUGAACAACAUGUGAAAGCAUGCGACUCUUCGGAGGCGUUACACAGGUGCUGCAUGGCCGUCGUCAGCUCGUGUCGUGAGAUGUUUGGUUAAGUCCAGCAACGAGCGCAACCCCUGUUGCCAGUUACCAGCACGUCAAGGUGGGGACUCUGGCGUGACUGCCCAGAUCAACUGGGAGGAAGGUGGGGACGACGUCAGGUCAGUAUGGCCCUUAUGCCCAGGGCUGCACACGUACUACAAUGCCCAGUACAGAGGGGGCCGAAGCCGCGAGGCGGAGGAAAUCCUGAAAACUGGGCCCAGUUCGGACUGUAGGCUGCAACCCGCCUACACGAAGCCGGAAUCGCUAGUAAUGGCGCAUCAGCUACGGCGCCGUGAAUACGUUCCCGGGUCUUGUACACACCGCCCGUCACAUCAUGGAAGCCGGUCGCACCCGAAGUAUCUGAAGCCAACCGCAAGGAGGCAGGGUCCUAAGGUGAGACUGGUAACUGGGAUG
rnacentral:rRNA from 1 species